UGCUUAUGAAUUCGUGGUCAAAUGCUCUUGUUUUAAGAGACUUACUCUUUUCUCAAUUGUCUGACGUCGCCCAAUUGAUAGACCUUAGUUGAUAAGUUUCCGCUAUGGGAAGAAAUAAAAUGUUACGCCCUUGAACAUUUUUAAAAAGGUUAUGCCUCGUUAAAAACUCUCCCGCCUGGGGUAGAGAAAAGAGUGCAUAUGAAAUGUUACGCCCUUGAACAUUUUUAAAAAGGUUAUGCCUCGUUAAAAACUUUCCCGCCUGGGGUAGAGAAAAGAGUGCAUACCUGUUGCUCCUUUCUUUUUCUGUACAUAAUGUUUUAUGCUUUGACUGUUUUUAAUCAACUCAUCACCUGUCAACUCAUCACCUGUUAGCAUGAG
rnacentral:lncRNA from 1 species